GACGAACGCUGGCGGCGCGCCUAACACAUGCAAGUCGAACGAGCGAGAGAGAGCUUGCUUUCUCAAGCGAGUGGCGAACGGGUGAGUAACGCGUGAGGAACCUGCCUCAAAGAGGGGGACAACAGUUGGAAACGACUGCUAAUACCGCAUAAGCCCACGGCUCGGCAUCGAGCAGAGGGAAAAGGAGCAAUCCGCUUUGAGAUGGCCUCGCGUCCGAUUAGCUAGUUGGUGAGGUAACGGCCCACCAAGGCGACGAUCGGUAGCCGGACUGAGAGGUUGAACGGCCACAUUGGGACUGAGACACGGCCCAGACUCCUACGGGAGGCAGCAGUGGGGAAUAUUGCACAAUGGGGGAAACCCUGAUGCAGCGACGCCGCGUGGAGGAAGAAGGUCUUCGGAUUGUAAACUCCUGUUGUUGGGGAAGAUAAUGACGGUACC
rnacentral:rRNA from 1 species